UACGUAGGGGGCUAGCGUUAUCCGGAAUUACUGGGCGUAAAGGGUGCGUAGGCGGUCUUUCAAGCCAGAAGUGAAAGGCUACGGCUCAACCGUAGUAAGCUUUUGGAACUGUAAGACUUGAGUGCAGGAGAGGAGAGUGGAAUUCCUAGUGUAGCGGUGAAAUGCGUAGAUAUUAGGAGGAACACCAGUAGCGAAGGCGGCUCUCUGGACUGUAACUAACGCUGAGGCACGAAAGCGUGGGGAGCAAACAGGAUUAGAUACCCUGGUAGUCCAU
rnacentral:rRNA from 1 species